GAGUUCCUGGUGAUCGUGUUCCCUUAACUGGGCGAUAGCCACCGUCGCCGCCAUCAUCGCUUCAGCGCAAGUUUCAGCUGCUCUAACGCUGCCGGUGAGUAGCGGCAGAGUGCUAGUGACCAAGUUUGCUGUACCGCUGUAGACUUUUCCUUCGCGCACGAGUUACUUGGCAAGUGCAUCCCUUCCUGCCAAAGUUAAAGGCCCUCGGAGAGAAUGGCGGCCGACACCAAGGACCUAGUCGCCGCGAUCAAAGUUGCCCUGCCCCGCAUCACCGAUGACCGCAUGCUAUUCCUGAUGCAAGAACUUGGAGCCAAGGGCGUACGAUGUAAGGCGGAUAUGAAGAAAUUGCAGGCCGUCGACCUUGUCAAUGCACUGGGGACAAACGACGCGAAGAAACUUGUUGCAUUCUUUAGGACUCCGGAACUCCCAGAUGAGAUCAUCACCGAUGGCGCAAGGCUUUUCGACACCAGGGAGCCUGCCGGAAGUCAAGAGAUGGAAGCGAUGUUCCAGAAUGCAAGCGCACAGGUGGCGUCUGAAUAUCGAGAGCUGGCCGCCACUCUGGACAUGGAGCAGGCGAAGAGGCAGGAAAUCCACGAAGCCGCUAUGCAAGACAUCACCUUAAGCGCGUCCCGCCAAGCCGAGGAGCAUCGAGACAAAAUGAAGGAGCUGCAAGCAAAGCGAGAGGCCGCAUCACGUGAACACGAGGAGAUGUUGCAACGCAUGCGCGAAGAAUGCAAGCUGCGCGCCCAGAAACGGGAGCAAGAGGAGCGUGAACACCUCGAGUGCUUGGAACGGCGGCAGAGGGAGCAUCAACGGCAGCCCGUUCGACGCUUUGUGGCUGCGUUUUCAGAGUACUGCGCUAGAGGGCGCAGACGUCAGCCUGCGCUCACGAUCAAGGGGCCUGAUCGCGAUCGCCCAGAUCCGGAUCCCGCAGGAUCGAGAUCGCAAAUGACCGUGUAGCAACACCCAAUGCGGAUCAGGCUCGAUCCGGACCGGCGCUGAUCGCGAUCAGAAGCGAGCUGCGGAUUUCGUGGUGAAAGUGGUUACUCGAAGCCCGACUGGAGGUUCAAGCGGUCCGUAGAAUUUGUCACAGGACUUCAACGGCGCUCCUCGUUCAGCAAAUUAAAUGGGCUGCACAGUGGCUCAACAGUGACGUCCUCUUCUGCGCUUCUCCAAUUAUUAUUCGUGUGAAGUUCUGCUUAGUUUCAGCACAUUGUUUCUACGUGGGUUGCGAAUCAUGGAAUAAAUGAAGAUCCCAUAA